rnacentral:rRNA from 1 species
CCUACGGGGGGCAGCAGUCGCGAAACCUCCGCAAUGCGCGAAAGCGUGACGGGGUUACCCCGAGUGCCGUCCGCUGAGGAUGGCUUUUCCCCGGUGUAAGGAGCCGGGGGAAUAAGGGGAGGGCAAGUCUGGUGUCAGCCGCCGCGGUAAUACCAGCUCCUCGAGUGGUAGGGAUGAUUAUUGGGCUUAAAGCGUCCGUAGCCGGCCUGAAAAGUCUUCCGUUAAAUCCAGCGACCUAAUCGCUGGGCUGCGGGAGAUACUGUCAGGCUAGGGGGCGGGAGAGGCCGACGGUAUUCUCGGGGUAGGGGUGAAAUCCUAUAAUCCCGGGAGGACCACCAGUGGCGAAGGCGGUCGGCUAGAACGCGCUCGACGGUGAGGGACGAAAGCUGGGGGAGCGAACCGGAUUAGAUACCCUAGUAGUCC